rnacentral:piRNA from 6 species
GUCGGGGUUUCGUACGUAGCAGAGCA